CGCGGGGUGGAGCAGCUCGGUAGCUCGCUGGGCUCAUAACCCAGAGGUCGCCGGUUCAAAUCCGGCUCCCGCUACGA
rnacentral:tRNA from 1 species